rnacentral:rRNA from 1 species
CUUUUACAAUGAAGAGUUUGAUCCUGGCUCAGGAUGAACGCUAGCUACAGGCUUAACACAUGCAAGUCGAGGGGCAGCAUGGACUUAGCUUGCUAAGUCCGAUGGCGACCGGCGCACGGGUGAGUAACACGUAUCCAACCUUCCGGUUACUCCGGUAUAGCCUUUCGAAAGAAAGAUUAAUCCCGGAUAGUAUGGUGAUUCCGCAUGGUUUCUCCAUUAAAGGAUUCCGGUAACCGAUGGGGAUGCGUUCCAUUAGGCGGUUGGCGGGGUAACGGCCCACCAAACCUACGAUGGAUAGGGGUUCUGAGAGGAAGGUCCCCCACAUUGGAACUGAGACACGGUCCAAACUCCUACGGGAGGCAGCAGUGAGGAAUAUUGGUCAAUGGGCGUAAGCCUGAACCAGCCAAGUAGCGUGAAGGAUGACUGCCCUAUGGGUUGUAAACUUCUUUUAUAAGGGAAUAAAUUGAGGCACGCGUGCCUUUUUGCAUGUACCUUAUGAAUAAGGAUCGGCUAACUCCGUGCCAGCAGCCGCGGUAAUACGGAGGAUCCGAGCGUUAUCCGGAUUUAUUGGGUUUAAAGGGAGCGUAGGCGGGCGCUUAAGUCAGCUGUGAAAGUUUGGGGCUCAACCUUAAAAUUGCAGUUGAUACUGGGCGUCUUGAGUGCGGCACAGGCAGGCGGAAUUCGUGGUGUAGCGGUGAAAUGCUUAGAUAUCACGAGGAACUCCGUUCGCGAAGGCGGCUUGCCGGACCGUAACUGACGCUGAUGCUCGAAAGUGUGGGUAUCAAACAGGAUUAGAUACCCUGGUAGUCCACACGGUAAACGAUGAAUACUCGCUGUUUGCGAUAUACAGUAAGCGGCCAAGCGAAAGCGUUAAGUAUUCCACCUGGGGAGUACGCCGGCAACGGUGAAACUCAAAGGAAUUGACGGGGGCCCGCACAAGCGGAGGAACAUGUGGUUUAAUUCGAUGAUACGCGAGGAACCUUACCCGGGCUUGAAUUGCAACCGAAUUACCUUGAAAGGGGUAAGCCGCAAGGCGGUUGUGAAGGUGCUGCAUGGUUGUCGUCAGCUCGUGCCGUGAGGUGUCGGCUUAAGUGCCAUAACGAGCGCAACCCUUAUCGACAGUUACCAUCGGGUCAUGCCGGGGACUCUGUCGAGACUGCCGUCGUAAGAUGCGAGGAAGGGGGGGAUGACGUCAAAUCAGCACGGCCCUUACGUCCGGGGCUACACACGUGUUACAAUGGGGGGUACAGCAAGCCGCCCGGCGGCGACGCCCGGCCAAUCCUAAAAACCCCUCUCAGUUCGGACUGGAGUCUGCAACCCGACUCCACGAAGCUGGAUUCGCUAGUAAUCGCGCAUCAGCCACGGCGCGGUGAAUACGUUCCCGGGCCUUGUACACACCGCCCGUCAAGCCAUGAAAGCCGGGGGUACCUGAAGUGCGUAACCGUAAAGGAGCGCCCUAGGGUAAAACCGGUGAUUGGGGCUAAGUCGUAACAAGGUAGCCGUACCGGAAGGUGCGGCUGGAACACCUCCUUUCU